GACGUAGGGCGCGAGCGUUGUCCGGAUUUAUUGGGCGUAAAGAGCUCGUAGGCGGCUUGUCGCGUCGUCCGUGAAAACCUGCAGCUCAACUGCAGGCUUGCGGUCGAUACGGGCAGGCUAGAGUUCGGUAGGGGAGACUGGAAUUCCUGGUGUAGCGGUGAAAUGCGUAGAGAUCCGGAGGAACACCAGCGGCGAAGGCGGCGUCCUGGACUGGUACUGACGCUCAGGAGCGAAAGCGUGGGGAGCGAGCCGG
rnacentral:rRNA from 1 species